AGAAAGGGAAAAUAUUAGGGAGAAGACUGUUAGAGACAGGGAAUGUUCCCCACAAUCUUCAUUAUGCAUCAUCAGUAAGAGACAGCAUUGCCUUUUACUUGAUAAACGACUGCCUACCAUUUGUUCUGCAGAACAAGGAAAGGAAAACAAGUUUUUCUCAUGGAAAAUCAAGCCCGGUUUCUAACCUUUCUCUAUGCUAACAGAUACUAAAGACGGGAAGGAAGUCAAGCCCUGCAAUUACAGCUUCUCCCAUGAGAGUCCAUGGGAGACAGAGAAGCAAAAUUUACAGGUUAACCCUGGAAGGGGAAAUUUCAACAGCCCAUGUGGCGGCCUUUGAGAGAGAGAAUUCACAAUCUCACACUACAUGUUAUUUCUCCUGAAACAGCAACAACUGAGAUUCUGCCUCCACUUCCAAAUAUUGAAAAUGUGAAUUCAUUCAUAGUUCAUUCAUCACCAUGCUCCCCCUAAAAUCAUCUUUUCAAAUAAAGCCGGGUGUGGUGGCACAUACCUGUGAUUCCAGCAUCUGGGAGGCUGAGGCAGGAGAAUUGCUAUGAGUUCAAGGCCACCUUGAACUACAUAGCAUGACUCUGUCUCAAAAAAAUUUUUUAGUUUAUAUAAAUAAAUAAAAUAUAAAAUGCCUGGAUUAUCCAAGAGUUCUGAGACAGGUUUGUCUCUAGAAGCUGAAUGGUCUGCAGAAUGGCUGAUCACACUGCUGUGUGAUAUUUUAAAGAAGGCCCCGGAAACUGCCCGGGGUGAGGGGGGAGAUGGGGUGCUGAUUGGUUCACUCCUUCACUUCCAGGCAUUCUGACCUCACAACAGACCUCGAAGGACUGGAUUCCAAACUAGAGCCCAUCAGAGAAACAGACAAAAUGUGCUGUUCAGUACUUCGCUUUCUUUCAACUGGCCUAUAAAGACAUCUAGCUACACGCGGAUGCUCCCCCUGCUCUGCUAUUCCACAGAAUGGAAUCGUUAUGAAAGGACAAUCAGUGGGCUUUACAGCAGCGGUCUGCAUCCACUACGUGAAAGAAAUCAGCGGGAGAAACAGCAGGUCCUGGGCUGGACUCGCUUUGUAAUUUAAAUGAAGAUAAAAUGUUUAUGGCCCUCCAGCUCCCAGAUGCCCUAGCAUAUAUUAAGCACGCUUCACGCCAGCUCGCUGUUUGAUCCUUGCAGCGUUGGAGCAAAACUGCCCUGGAUGAACUGCAAACCCGGUGGCCAGCCACCUCUCCAGGAUUCUGCUCAAAAUGAUGUUUGCAAGGAAGACUUUCCUAACCCUUAGCUGGAGUUGAGGGACCUCUUCUCUGCUCCCACAAUCAUCAUUCUCUCUGUCUCCCUGACUGGCUUGCAUGCUCCAUGGGGACAUGUCUUGCUCAUCUUAUUGGCUCUUCUGCCUCCAAGUUCUGUCUGGAACCAAGGUAUAAGCUAAAUAAACCUGAGUUCAGUGAAUGGCUAUCAA